rnacentral:tRNA from 1 species
GGUUGUGGCUCAGUGGCAGAGCGCUUGCCUAGCAUGUGUGGGUACUGGGUUCGAUUCUCAACACCA